rnacentral:rRNA from 1 species
AACAGGAUUAGAUACCCUGGUAGUCCACGCUGUAAACGAUGUCGACUUGGAGGUUGUGCCCUUGAGGCGUGGCUUCCGGAGCUAACGCGUUAAGUCGACCGCCUGGGGAGUACGGCCGCAAGGUUAAAACUCAAAUGAAUUGACGGGGGCCCGCACAAGCGGUGGAGCAUGUGGUUUAAUUCGAUGCAACGCGAAGAACCUUACCUACUCUUGACAUCCAGAGAAUUUGCUAGAGAUAGCUUAGUGCCUUCGGGAACUCUGAGACAGGUGCUGCAUGGCUGUCGUCAGCUCGUGUUGUGAAAUGUUGGGUUAAGUCCCGCAACGAGCGCAACCCUUAUCCUUUGUUGCCAGCGAGUAAUGUCGGGAACUCAAAGGAGACUGCCGGUGAUAAACCGGAGGAAGGUGGGGAUGACGUCAAGUCAUCAUGGCCCUUACGAGUAGGGCUACACACGUGCUACAAUGGCAUAUACAAAGAGAAGCGAACUCGCGAGAGCAAGCGGACCUCAUAAAGUAUGCCGUAGUCCGGAUUGGAGUCUGCAACUCGACUCCAUGAAGUCGGAAUCGCUAGUAAUCGUAGAUCAGAAUGCUACGGUGAAUGCGUUCCCGGGCCUUGUACACACCGCCCGUCACACCAUGGGAGUGGGUUGCAAAAGAAGUAGGUAGCUUAACCUUCGGGAGGGCGCUUACCACUUUGUGAUUCAUGACUGGGGUGAAGUCGUAACAAGGUAACC